CUACAUAUCAAUAAGCGGAGGAAAAGAAACCAACAGGGAUUGCCCUAGUAACGGCGAGUGAAGCGGCAACAGCUCAAAUUUGAAAUCUGGCUUCGGCCCGAGUUGUAAUUUGCAGAGGAUGCUUCUGGCGCGGUGCCUUCCGAGUUCCCUGGAACGGGACGCCACAGAGGGUGAGAGCCCCGUAUGGUCGGACACCAAGCCUGUGUGAAGCUCCUUCGACGAGUCGAGUAGUUUGGGAAUGCUGCUCUAAAUGGGAGGUAAAUCUCUUCUAAAGCUAAAUACCGGCCAGAGACCGAUAGCGCACAAGUAGAGUGAUCGAAAGAUGAAAAGCACCUUGAAAAGGGGGUUAAAUAGUACGUGAAAUUGUUGAAAGGGAAGCACUUAUGACCAGACUUGGGCCGGGCGGCUCAUCAGGGGUUCUCCCCUGUGCACUCCGCCCGGCACAGGCCAGCAUCGGUUCUCGUGGGGGGAUAAGACCGUCGGGAACGUAGCACCCUCCGGGGUGUGUUAUAGCCCGGCGGACGAUACCCUCGUGGGGACCGAGGUUCGCGCUCCGCAAGGAUGCUGGCGUAAUGGUCAUCAGUGACCCGUCUUGAAACACGGACCAAGGAGUCGUCCAUUAGAGCGAGCGUUUGGGUGUAAAACCCGCACGCGUAAUGAAAGUGAACGCAGGUGAGAGCUUCGGCGCAUCAUCGACCGAUCCUGAUGUUCUCGGAAGGAUUUGAGUAAGAGUUUUAACGGACGGACCCGAAAGACAGUGAACUAUGCUUGUAUAGGGUGAAGCCAGAGGAAACUCUGGUGGAGGCUCGCAGCGGUUCUGACGUGCAAAUCGAUCGUCAAAUAUGAGCCAUGGGGGCGAAAGA
rnacentral:rRNA from 1 species